UGGGGAAUUUUGGACAAUGGGCGAAAGCCUGAUCCAGCAAUGCCGCGUGUGUGAAGAAGGCCUUCGGGUUGUAAAGCACUUUUGUCCGGAAAGAAAUCCUUGGCUCUAAUACAGUCGGGGGAUGACGGUACCGGAAGAAUAAGCACCGGCUAACUACGUGCCAGCAGCCGCGGUAAUACGUAGGGUGCAAGCGUUAAUCGGAAUUACUGGGCGUAAAGCGUGCGCAGGCGGUUUGCUAAGACCGAUGUGAAAUCCCCGGGCUCAACCUGGGAACUGCAUUGGUGACUGGCAGGCUAGAGUAUGGCAGAGGGGGGUAGAAUUCCACGUGUAGCAGUGAAAUGCGUAGAGAUGUGGAGGAAUACCGAUGGCGAAGGCAGCCCCCUGGGCCAAUACUGACGCUCAUGCACGAAAGCGUGGGGAGCAAAACAGGAUUAGAUACCCUGGUAGUCCACGCCCUAAACGAUGUCAACUAGUUGUUGGGGAUUCAUUCCUUAGUAACGUAGCUAACGCGUGAAGUUGACCGCCUGGGGAGUACGGUCGCAAGAUUAAAACUCAAAUGAAUUGACGGGGUCAUAGCUG
rnacentral:rRNA from 1 species